GACAUCACUCUCUACCCGGAGGUUGUAGCAUGGAGAGUGUUGGUCUCUUCUCCCAAGUAGCAAGUGAUAGGACAAGAGGAAGUGGCCUCAAGUUGCACCAGGGGAGGUUUAUAUUGGAUAUUUGGAAAAAUAUCUUCAUGGAAAUAGUUGUCAGGUAUUGGAACAGACUGCCUAGGGACGUGUUGGGGACACCGUCCCCAGAUGUUUAAAAGACAUAUUGAUGAAGUUCUUAGGGACAUGGUUUAAUGCCAGUGUUAGGUUAAUGAUUGGGCUUGAUCUUAAGGGUCUUUUCCAACCAAAAUGAUUCUAUAAUUCUAUGAAGCACUCAGCUUCUGCCCCUCUGCACCCCAGGCUAGCAUCUCACAUGGGUCCUGUCUCUCGACUUGCUGCCUCUGGCUUGCGCCCAUGGUGGGGAAGGUCCUCUUUUAAUCCUUUUCUAAUAUGUGCAUUUCCCCACGGUACCAUAUCUAAAAGUUUUGGUGUUUUUUGUUGUAGUUACUCAUGAUUAAAGAGCUGCAGAAAACUAAUUACAGUUUAAAAAUUUUAAUUACAGUAGCAGAAUGAAGUGACGAAUUAUGAGCAUAGCAACUGACACCCAUGAUCCACCUUCUUUUUACAGAUGGAUGUGUUUUUGCUUUGCAAUUUUUUUAAUUUUAAAAAACCCUUCUCCUUAUCACUAAGAAUCCGCUAGGCAGGAGCCGGACUGAAAGCUUUUCCACAGGACAUGCUGCAGCUGAGAAGUUACAGGCUAAUACAGGUAUUAGUUACAGGCUAAUACAGGUUAACACUCUUCAGCUUGUGUCAUCCCAUGGUGGUCUCAGGAGGCUGCUGCUGGAUGGGGGUCUGUGCAACAGGUGUGCAAUGCUGGGAAACCUAAAAUCUGUUCUUAGAAAUAAACCCGCAGUUGCAGUUUAAUAGCAUUUUAACAAUACGCAACUCCUCCUUUGGGUUUGUGUGGGAGCCAACAGAAUCAUAGGCACGUGAGUGCUGUCCUUAAGGAAAAGCCUGCUUGAAAAACUCAGUUUGUAGAUGCUUUUACUUAAAUUCCUCUUUGCCUUCCACACACAAAUCAAGAUUGUAGCCUUCCUAUAUUGACUUUGUCUCAUAAACGUGUUAGUAUUGCAAGAGCACCGUGAAGAGUUUAGACCUGAGCAGCAAAUCCCACAAAUUAAAUGCUCAUUUCUACUCCAAAAAUUAUUACCUCCAUAAAGUGAUGCUCCAGGAUCGACAGAAAACACGAAUAAAAGAGAAGCCUUUGCAGCAAAUAGCAGGAGAAAAAAAUUCUCUUAUCAGCUUACCUAGAAGUAAUGAACGUGGUUCUUGUUUGUGCAGCAGCCAAGAUAUCACUGAAAAAAAUAGUAGAAAAUAAUAGUUUAUUAUACUGUGUAAUCUUUUACUGUGACAGUCUGGUGCAUGUGAGGAAGGGGUACAAAAGGAAAGAAAAUGCACUUUAAAAACCCACUAUCUCCAGCAUCAAAUUGAUCAACACACUAUUAAGAGAACAAAUGGACUUGAAUGUUUGAAAAGCAACGAGUGUCUGAGUGCAAGAAGGACAGAGACAGCUCUCCUUUAACAGUUGGCUUGUUCAUCACUGUUUCUGAGCCAACAGUGAUUUUAUGAUUGGAUAUUUCUUUUUAUUUGUACUGAUGCUGUUUCUGAUGAGUCAUGUAAUGGUCACCCAUCCUCCCUGCUGUGUUUUGUGGUGGUAGCAUGUGCCCUGACUCCGGGGCUCUGAUUUACUGAAUGCUGUACAAAUACCAGUUCCUAAAUCUGGUCAAGGAUGAACAAAAUUUGUCAGGUAGAGAUUGGAAAAGUAAUUGAAUUUUACCAAGUUGAAAUGAGCCUCUCUGAAGCAGAACUUCAGCCUGGAUUGAGCCAACUCUGAUUUGUUUGAACUCAAUAGGAGUACAAAAACCUGUGCUGGGCACUUUUGAGAGUCUCGCUGAAUUUGGUUUUGUAAUUAUCCUAGGGAUACCGCUGUAGUCAGACACCUCUGGCCUGAAUUCACAUUUUCUUGAUGCGUUUACGCAGAUUGAGGCUAUGUUUCUCACAUUGUCUUUUGGGAGGUGAGGUGUGAGUUGGCAGAUGCCAUUUCUUUGUGAAUAGUUGUGCCACAGGCAUUGAGGUGGGGAAGGGCUUGACCAUAACCUGGCAGCUGAGUGAGGGGCAAGUUGCGAUCAGCAGAAAGCAUUAAGCCAACAGAAGUAUUUCAGAGUUCUUAGAUGUCCUAUGGCUUUCACCCAGCCAUUAAUCAGCACUUCAGAAGUGCACACACAUACUUCAGUGCUUGCUGGCAAAGCUGAUUUUGCUUAAUACGGCUCAGUCUCUUCUUACAGCAUAGAAACCAUUUGCGAGCUAAAUGAAAAGAUCUUGUUUGGGCUUUGUUUCUAUAAAUAUUAUACUCCUACAAAAACUGUCCCCAUAUUUUGCUGCCUACACUUCACUCACAUGUGUAGCUCCAACCUCUAUUUUCCCCUCCAUAAAAACAGCUCCAUAGGAUCCCAGAAGGUAUAAUUUUUUCUAUGUAUUUGCUCAACACAUCACUGGAAACACUCUUGCUGACUGCAGUGUGUUUUGAUUUGGGUCAUAAGUGAGCAACAGAAAAAAUAUGAAGCCAGGUUGUCAGAAAAAUAAAGGAUUUGUUGUCAUGUUUUGCUGCUGCGCAGUUGUAUGGGAUUUGCUUUGAGUCAGCAAUGAAUGUCACCAGUUUUCAGAAAAGUUACAGGAAAGAGUGAUCUUUCAUGGCUGACUUGUUUCUCUUGUCUCUGAACAGUAAAGUAGCCAAAUUCCUCAAAGGACUCUUGCAUAUAAAAGGUAAUUUACAAUAGGUCUGCUAGGGAUCUCUUAUGUAUGAAAUAUAUACAUUGUCUGCUUCUACUGACAGUGGAAAGAUGUGUCCAAUAUUUACAGUAAACCAGCAAUCUUCUUUCUGUCUCUCUAUACUGCUCAUUAUUGAACUGUAAACCAGAAUUUAAAAAUUCUUGCCCAGCAGGCCUGUUUUAAACAUUAAUAUCUGCAGAAAUAUAUUCUGAACUCUGAGCAGAAGGUAUUUCUUAUGCCAAAUGAGGAUGAACCCUAAACUUCAACUUCAAAUUUCAUUUUUUCAGCAAUUCACCACAGUAGCAAAAUUUGUAUUCAUUUCCACUUGGUUUGUUUUCUUGAACUAAACCUCAAAAUCAAGCUAUUUUCUUUCUUUUUAUUCCCCCAAGGCAGGGUGAGAGAAUGGCGGCACAGGCUCUCUCUCAGUGUGUAAAUGAGACAGGAUUGGCAUGCAGGUGAUGGGAUCCAGAUUGAAAAAUGCUGGUAAGGAAGGUGGUGUAAGAGUAUAAGGGAUAUCAGCAAAGAGAUUGAGGCAACAGAAUUACAUUAACAAAUUUUCUUUUUGGACAUAGAUAAUUCUGAUUAAUCCAUGAAAAUAAAUGCUGAGGGAAGCUAUAAGAAAUUACUGUGCCAUUUCCUUGAUGUUUAUAGAAAGUUUUGAGUAAAACCUAUUAUGAUGGCAGAAAUUACUUUGCUAAUGGCAAGGUAUUAAUAAAGGAUAUGCAUUCUUAAAGGGGAACUUCAUUCUGUGUUUUGGGAACAUCUCUGGUAAGCAGAGAUGGAGACUAGUUCAGAUCAUGCUCGGUUUGAAUGCUGAGCAGUAGAAGUCAAAAGCCUUUGUUCUUGGUUAAAAAAUAAAUAGGUCAGAUGGAUUACAGAUUUUAAUUUAGUGGACAUUCCUUAUUAAGAGACCAAAGGUCUCCUCUGUCCUAAGCCCCCAGCACAAGGGGCACUCAGUGCUUUUUGUUUCUGAGUGCUAAUGAUAGAUAUAUAUUUAUAACUAACAGCGACACCAUGGUGCGAUUACUUCGUUCUCUCUGAGGUCAGGCAGAGUAGUGCUGGUCAUGGUGUGCGUAGGAGGGAGGUGUCUGGUUUGGUGCUGCUGUUCAGGCAUGGUCUGGAGCCCAAAUUCCUCAGCUGUCCACAGGUUUACCUGGCAGAGUCUGCAGGGCCAGAGCUGGGUUCCAGGGGAAACAGGGGCAGAGUGUGAAGGUGAGAAGGACUACAAAGGCACCCUGGAGGACAGGAGCAGCUCAGCCUGCAUUGUCCUCACCCGAAAGCACUUCACCCAUGGUGGACAAGGUGGCCCUGCAGAGCUCAGGUGUCCCAGCCAGAUCAGGGCCACUGUCCCACUGCAGAUGCAGGCAGGAGCCUGGCAUGCAGAAAGCAAUGCCUGUCUGCAGAAUGACACAAAAACCUCUCAAGAGAAAUGUUUUCCAAGUCCCACACUGACAUACUGAAGCAUCAGACCCUUCAACCUUUCUUCUCAGUAAUGGGUGGGGAAAUGAGCUCUCAGGGGAUAAGCCUGAGGAUCACUAGGAAGAGUGAGCAAAAGCCAAAACUGCCAAAUGCAGGUGGGUAUGCAGUAUGGGUAUUUGCUGCAUGAGCUUGCAAUAUAACGUGGUACUUGCAAAAUGGUGAGGUGUUACCAUGCAAAAGCAGGUUUCUGCGUGUGCUGAGCUUGGCUCAAUGUUCACCAGGUGGAGGUUUUGGUUGAGCUGGUGUCCACUUGUAGCUCCUGGGCUUUGGGUUCAGCCAUGAACCUCACUCUGGGUUGCCGAUGGGGAGAAGACACCAGGCUGGGCAGAACACAAGACACAACUGCUGGUAUCACAGCACAAGCGUUGUCCAAAACCCAAAGUGCAGCCUGUCUCGUGUGUCUUCAGGUGGCUGCAAGUGAGCCGGUGGCUGCCAGCUGUCUCCUAAACUGUGGAGAGGCUCAGGUAGAUCUUACACUGAGACUGGCUGCCCUCUGUUAGAUCUCUGCUUUAGCAUCACCUGAAGUGCCUUUUCCUCUCCAUAGACUACAAAGAAAGCCUGGGGAAACUACCUGCUACAUAUACUGUAGAUAAAGGAAUCUCUUCCCCAGAGACUGUGCAAGAAAAUAUGUCCAAACAGGAAAAAAAAAUACAAGGAAAAGCACCAAGGCUUGCAGGCUGCUUUUUAAUCGUUCCAGGUGGGGUAAGUUUCCUCAGUCUAGAGGAGCUGGGAGGAGCUGUUGCAUGUCUACGAACAUAUCAGAAGCAUCUUAAAAAUGAGGCAGCAUAAAAGUCACCUUUUAGUGUAUACAAUGGCAGAAAAGAAUAUGGUUGUUUAUAAUGUAUUAUCACAGGAACCAUUUUAUUAUCCUUUUGGCUGCAUCAACAAAAAUGUUUAGGAGGCUCUGCUGUCCCCAAAUAACCAGACAUCAGUUCUGCUGUCCUCACCAUGUAGGAGGGUGAGUAUAACACCAAACUGAGGCAAAAAAGCGGGAAACUGGGAGCAAGGAAACCCUGAGAAUGAUUUGCUUAGGGAUAGCAUCUCGUUCAAUGUCAUUGAGAAAGCAUUAAAGGAAAGUUUACUGAGGGAGCCUGAUUUGGGAGCUCAGUACAUGUUUGCAGACCCUUAGAAAAAUGUGUGAUGUGCAGACCAUCCAGGCUGUGUCCCCGCUUGUGAGUACACCCUGUGGUGGUGCACAGGAAUGUUAAACACUUGGUGAAGUGGACACACCUUGCAGUCCUGCCAAAAGAUUGCCAAGGCUGUGGUGGGACCCUCCUGCACCCUCGUCCCAUCCACUAGAGGUGAAGGGUGAGGGUGUUUCUCUGUGCAGAGCAGCGUGGCUGCUGUGACUGAUAUUGCUUCAAAGCUGGCGGAUGUGUAUCACGCUGAUGUGCCGCCUGUAGUUGUGUGUGUUGUGUUCAGACCCUGUUGCUGGGAUCCAUCUCACCAACUGUACAUCUGUAUCUGAGCAGGUUGUCUAGACCCCCUUUACAUUCCAUGAAGGAAAACCACUUUCAGAAUUUCAUUCAUUUCAUUCUAUGGUUUUAGACUGAAACUGUAUCUAGAAAUAUUUAGAAUUAAAUAUAUUUAGAAUAAAUCGUUUGGAUAAAGGGACCUGUUUCCCUCCAUUGACCAUGAAGGACAGCCUAUGCUAACCAGCAAAGAAUGAGGGAUACAAAGCUAAGUGAAAUUAAUCUUGCGCACGUUGUCAAGCAUUGGAAGAGGCUGCCCAAGGAGGUGGUUGAGUCACCAUCCCUGGAGAUAUUUGAAAGGCGUGUAGAUGUGGUGCUUAGGAAUUUGUGUAGUGAUGGACUUGGCAGUGCUAGAUUAACAGCUGGACUUGAUGAUCUUAAGGGUCUUUUCCAACCUAAAUGAUGCCAUGAUUCUAUGUUCUUCUUCUUCUUUGGGUGCUUUGGGCUUUGGCAGCUUUUCAGCCCCUUGGUGGUUUCCCUAGUUUCCCCGGAGACGCUGAAACAUCUCUGGUUUCUCCCUCUGAGGCUCUUGGCUGCAAAUUUUAGCAGAUGGCACCUCUCCUCCUCCUCUGUUCCUCUUGUGGGUUGAACACCUCAUUCACCAACAUCAUAUGGGUUAAAUAUAUCCCCUUGCUUCAUCCCCAGUUUUUCAUGGGCAAGCCAAAGCCCAGAGUGGGCUCCGGACCCUUCCAGGCACAGGGGGACUUGCUCAAGCAUCAACAGUGCAUGGACCGCAGCUCCCAGCCCAACCAGGUGGGCAGCCAUCCUCUGCCACAGCCUCUGGUGGGACAGCAUGCAGGACUGGUGCGGCACAGCCUGCACCUACGUGGUAUAAAAUAGUACUAACAUAAACUAUAUAUUUCACAGUCAUAUGGGAACUGAAAAGCUAAACAGUUAUACAACAACCCUGGCAACUGUCUGUCUAAACCCACACAUCUAAACAUGGUGAGAGCUGAUCUGAAGAUUUUCAUGUCAAAAAGUCACCAAAAUCAACAUAUUUUAGUGUGAGACACUGCAGUUUGGUUAUAACUAGGAUUUUCUUUCUGACUAUGCAUCUCCUGAGGAGUGGUUGACUCUGACUGUAGGCGCAGCCCAAAGCAGCUUGUGGUGAGGUGAAGAAGCCAUAAAAUUACUUUGACUUUCCAGACAGUCACCAGGCUCUCCUGAGUGUGUGCUUCAUGAAGACCAGUAAAUGAAAUAGCUCAAUAUUUCUCCAAUAAAAGCAGUAGAUCUGUCCACACCGCAGCAGGACCAUAUUAAAAUGCCACCAGAAUGCUGUUCCAGGCAGCGGGGUCCAUAUGCAGCCUCCAGUGUGUCCUUCAGAGCUCCUGAAUUGCUGUUGAGGGGAAAGUUUCAAUAAGCAGGAAACACUAAACAAACAAAGGUAUUAAACAGUCCUCGUGUCUUAUUACUGGUGAGCAGCCAGUCAAAAAUAAAUGCAUUCAUUAUGGGCUUGUUUGCAAAACUGAUUUUACUUAAUAUGGCUCAGUCUCUGCUUAUGGCACCACUGGAACCUCUUAUAAAUUAAAGGAAGGUUUGUUUUUUCUUGGCUUAGUAAAUAAUAUCUUUGCCUGUAGGUUCCUAUGUCUUUAUUAGUGUUUUCCUCCUACAAUUGUCUUCCAUCUGUAGUUAUAACAUGCAUUUCCCUCUCACCAUGGAGAAAAACUUCACCAUCUUUUUGGCCAAGCUGACUAAAGGUUUUGGUUCCCUGGGACCCAGCACUGUAGCGGGAUAGUUUCAGACUUUUGGUGGGAGAUGAGUCAGUAUUACAUUUGAUAAGUACUUGCUGCUUACAGACAAAUGAGAGAACCCCAGCUCACAGACCAUGAUUCUGGAGGUAGACUCUGUGUUGGGGGAAACUAGUGGUGGGACCUUCAUGUAGGCAUAAAGCUGGAGAGGGCAUGGGCCAAAUCAUGCAUGGGGCAGCUGCCUCCUCCUCUCAGGCACCAUGUAGAUAUUUGCUGAUAUUAGUUACUGGUAUCUGACAGUUGAGGCUUUCAUCUAGCACCAACUGGACCUCAUCUAGAUAAUAUUAUUUUAAAAAUAUAUUUCCUAAAACGAUAUUUGUAUUGCACUUAUAAAUAUACUGGACAGUGUUUGCUGUGUAGCUCACAGAUGGUGGUGGUAGUUGGAAGGUGGCAGAAGAUGGAAAAUUUUGGGUCUCUUGGAUGUCUCAGUGGGCACUUUAGUGAGAAGAAUUCUCUGUGAUUUCGCUGGUGUUUCUAGGCUCAGUCCCAGUGUUCAUAUCAGAUGGGUACAAGGAAAGUGGUGGCUCCUCUGCAGCGUGGUGACACGUUAGUGGUCAGCUGAGCAAUCUCAUCCUCUCUGAAGCUGGUGCCAGGCAGGCAGGGCAGCAGAUGCUGCCAGAUGCUGGCUGGGGGUAGCCUGGCCCUGAUGUCUGUUCAACACAAUGACUGAGAACUGGGACCUUCACAGUUUAAGGCUGCUUCAUCCAGACCCCACUGGGAAGAUGCUGUAUGAAGAGCUCAGUCAGCUGGACCACUAUGGGCUGGACUUCUGUUAUGCUCAGAAAUCAAAGGCAACAAGAUGAAAGAGGAUAUAUUGAAAGUUUUCCUGUAAUGCUUCUGUCUCUCACCUCUAGCAGGGAAACACAUGGGAAAAGGCAGUAGGAAAGCACAAAUUUUGCAAGAUGUCUCUAUGGAAAUGUUUGUCAAGAUUUUGAUACACUUGCAAAAACACCAGUUACAGUGACUUUUUGUCCAUUCAUUCCUCUUACAGUAGGCAAAUACCUCAGAAAACAAAGGCACCUUGCAGAUUGAGCAGAACCGAGGGAGACAGUGAAGACGGUGGGUCAGAUUUGGGUCUGCUUAGCAGAACAGCAAGCUCUUUAGUGCAGAUCUAUUUGUCUGCUUUAUGUAGAAGAGGAAAUUCAGGCAACGGCCAUGACUUCAGAGAAAUUAAGGCGAAUGUUUCAGGGAAGGUUUCAAGAUGCUGCCUUCUUGGUGCUUUACCUAGAAAACUUCCUUUUGAGCAAGAGAUUCAUCUCAGAAAAGUCAUCUGUAUGGUCUGAGCUGCACCAGAGGCUGCUGCCUGUACCUGAGCUCUGUGCACAUAAACCUUCCUCUGUGCUUUGGGCCACUUUACUGGAAAAGGUCCUUGGAAAAGGAGCUGAUGGGUGUCCUGCGCUGCCGUAAAGUUUCUGCAUACCGGAAUGAGUUUCCUUUAAUGAGCUGACUUAUUUCAGGUGUGAAGGACACCAGUAACUCUCACUAAUUUGAUGGGAGCUGUAAGUGCUCAGCUCAUAAAAUAUGGAAAAUGGUGUGCAGAGGUGAGUAAACACACAUCAUCUCAGAUAAACGACAGAAAGCUGCAGUACACUUUUCCUCUAAUCUGACACACACAUCAAAUCCUAUACACAUAUUUUUCAGCACCAUUUCACUUUUUAUAUGACAGUCACAUUAUCAGGGAAUUCAAAUUAUUCAUAGAGAGGCAGAUCCUGCAAGUUCUUUGCAGUGGAGAGAGAGAAAAUAGACAGAGCUUUAUCAGGAAAUGAAAAUCAGAUCAGCUUUAUUGCCACACCAGGUGCUAUUUAUUGCAAAGGACUUGUUUUUACUCCAGCACUCAGUUAAAGAAAAGCCCCAAACCAGCCAUCUUCCACAAUGAAUAAAUUGACUUUCCAAUACAAAGCCUUUCACAGAGGGAGCUUUGCAGUGAAGCUGGCUCAGUAGCUCAGUUUGUGCUCCAGAGUGAAUGGGAAGAUUUUGAAAAGCACCUUGCCAGUGUUCUGCCAUCCUUGCAAGCAGAGGUACUAAUGGGAAUGCGGCUGCAUCCAUGAAUCUCCAUCACUUCUUCUUUCCUGAGGUGGCUGUGGAGACUGUUCUCAGGAUCUUGCUCUGUGUAUGCACCUGCAAGAUGACCAAGGCUCCAGCAGCUCGUGCCUGUCUUCUGCCCUUAUGGCCCCAGUUGUUCCACUUCUCAGUUGAACACUGAGCUUUGUUGAGUCUCCCUGCUUUCCCUUUGGUAAAACAUGUGGGAUUGCCUUGAGUGCAAAACCUGAACAGAUUUUCUACCAAGCUUGAAAGCUAGUCCCACUUUAAUAUGAUUGCUACUGCAGUCAGCUUUGAUUAUUAUCAAUCGUCUGCCAAUCUGAAAAUAGAUUGUUAUAUAAACGAAGUCCUCUCCCCCUGGCCUCAAAAAUUAUUUUUUAUAAGGUAUUUUUGCAUUCAGUUAAAAUUUUCCUGUUGAUUGAUUUUCACUCUGCCUCCUCUAGACUUCACAGAUAACAGUGGAGUUAUAUAUAGUGACGGAGUCUGGUGGCAGGGAGGAAGAAGUAUUUCCCAGGGAGGCUAUUACUUGUGGGUGUUAGAUAAAAGCUGCAGACACAAUCCUGUCCCACCAGCAUGGGUGAGAGACUCAACAGCCUCAGAAUAUUGGGUUGGUGUGCACCUUUAUUCCACCUGCACUGCUGAAGUCAAAGGGUGCCUGGGCAUCACUUAAACAUGAAGGGAGUCAUUGUUUUCCAUGCUAUGUGGCAGCACUGUCCUCUGGGUUGGAGCACUGCAGACAAGAGACUGAAAUUAUUGCUAACUCUGCCAUUUUCUGUAGGAUUGUUGGUGUAUAAAUACUGAGCAGCCAGUUAAUUUCUAUGAGCUUUUGGGAGCACGGGAGCUCUUAAAUGGAUUUACAAAACAUCUAGCAUAGUGGAAGUAUCAACUUGGCAGGGAGCUGUAUUACAUGAGGUCUCUACUCAUCUCUGCAGCAGACUAGGGAGAAAAGAUGGGCAGGAGCAGGGGUGAUGUUUGUCUGGCUUCAGCAUUGCUGGUCUGCUUGCUCCACACAUUUCAGUCUCGAGUCCUGAGUAACACAAGGCAUAGAAGAAACAGAUGAAGAUUUCAAAGCCACUUGCUCGUUUAUCCGAGCUCUGACCUAGGGCAGUUCUUGCACUAAUAACUGUGACUGGUCCCUACUUCACCUUCUCAGUGUUAAUUCAGGGCUUGUUACUCUAGGCCAACAUGUGGGGGGGUGAGAUCUCACUAAGGACAAAUAGGAAAACAGAGGAUGAAAGUUGGAGAGAGCUGGUGAUACAAGGUCAGAUAGGUCAUUUAUGUGAGGGCUUCUCAGGGUUGUGAAGAGACAGCUAAUCUCAUCUUUAUGUCACCAGAGGUAAAAUUGCAAACAUGCACACACAUGUAUAUGCAUGAGUUAUAUACAAAGGCAUAGUUAUAAGAUUAAAUACAGGAAACUUUUUUAGGUGCUUGGAUUUAUAGGGAAAGUAUUUAGGCCCCUAAUACUCAAAGAAAUGCCAGUGGGAAUUUGGUAUCCCUGUGUAUUUGCAGAUCUAGGCCACAGGCCCUGUCCCAGAGAGUUUGUGGUCCCACUAGAUACCUCUCUGCUAGCAGGAACGAAGGACCAGCAUAAAAGAUUAUAUGCAUUUUCCUUUGAUUGUUCCCUUAGUUGGCAUUAUCUUGAUUUGAUAACCUAACUCCCUACUGCCAAUCACUCCCCCCUCAUGUUGCUUUUAUGCCAGACCACACAGAGGGAGCUCAGAGGUUUACACUUCCAGGGAUUUUGAGUGUGCUAACUAGCCUUCACAGCCCUCUGUGCCCCAGGAGCAGAGACGAAGGCCAUAAAUCUUACUUAAAUUGCCAUCUUAAUGUGAUCUCUUGAGGCCCUUUCGGCUGGGGCUUGGAUAUAGCUGCACAUCGAGUUCAUUCAUUUUCUUUACCCUGUUGCAGAUUUCACCAGCUUGCUGAUCUGUAACUGGGUCAGCUUCAUAAAGCAUCAUUUCUGUUCUAGGCUUUUGCCUUCAUCUGGGAAUACAUAAUUGAGGAGGCUGGAUAACAAACGAGCAGGACUGAAUAGGCCUGGGAGUGAGCGCCAGUUUGUUGCUCUUAGCUAUUGUCUUAUAACUAUUUCCAGACUUGUGAAUGGACGUAAGCCGUGUGAGACCAGUCCAUUGGCAGUUGCCAUUCUAAUUAGAAUUAAGACAUCCAAAACUUGGACAUUUCCCAGCAACCCAUGUGUCCCUACUGUAAAUGGCAGGUACCCAGAGAAACCUUCAUGUUGAAACUCUCAUAAUUUGUGAGUUGAACACCGAAAUGGACUGAUGGCAUGGGCAAAGUGUUUGCAGUGGGGCAAGAGGUCCAAAGCUGGCUGUAAGGGAUGAAACCUCCGUUAAAGGUGGCAGAGUGGCCUUGGUGCAGCAGGGAGCCAUUCUGGGGACACGGCUGCUGCUGAGGAAGAGCAGAAAGGGAAGGCAAGCAGUGAGAACAUAAUGACAAAUGCAAUACAUGAGCAAAUCUCCAUUAAUCAUGAAAUAUGGAGUUAAUAUAGAAGUCUUAAUAGCUGAGGGGCCAGAUGGCACUGCAACAUGGACAACCUCUGCCAUAAAGGUGACAGGGCAGAAGGGAGAGUUGGGUGAAGAAGGAGUAAGAGGAAAGGAAGGCAGAGCAGGCCAAGAGAGGUAUAAAGGCUUAGCAGGAGUGGGAGAAAGGGAGAACAAUGAAAGGAUCAUCAAUCCCAAUUCACCCUUGUACAAGAUGAAUGUUUUUUACAGACUCUCAGGAGAGACGAAGGACUGCUCAGAAACAGCUUUCUCUGUCACUUUGGAAAGCAAAGUCCUUUCUCACACUAGAAGAAAAAAGCUGUAAAAUAGCGCUUUGCAGAAGUGAGCUGAGUUCACAUGUACAACUAGAUUCUUAAUCUUGUCCUAGGCUGGGUCUUGUUCUGUACCAGAGACCCCAGUUUUUAAUUGAGCGGUCAAAGCGUGGCCCUCCAGGGGAUUGGGGGGAAUGGAAAAUUAGAAGUGAGAACAAUCUGGUACUUGAGGGAAGGUGACUUAACUUUUCUCUGGAUCCAUAAUCUGAUUUUUCUGUUGUAGCUUUUUUCGCUACAUGAAAUCUGCUUGCACAAGAAUUUACUUUAAUGACCAUGUAAUUGUUUUCCAGACAUCUAUUAAAUUUGGAAGUGACAUAUUGUCUUAUUAUCUCGGUUAAAUUAAAAAACCCCAUGCUGUUCCUAAUAAAUUUCAGCAGACAUCUGCAAAUGAGGCAAGCCUUAUUUAAGGCAAGCAUUUGAGGUGCAGGUGUAUUGACAAAUAUAGGAAAAGUCAACAUAUGCACCCCUGUGCAUGCACACAAAUAGAAACAGAUGUGGACAUGUAAGCAACCAUCUAUUAGAGGUGCUUACCAAAUAAAACAGCUCUUUGUUAAAUAAGGUUUAGAAUAUGAUAAAUUAUUGUAAAUUUACUGUAAGGUUCUGAGGUCAGAUGGAAACAAUUCUCUUCCAACAGCAAUCAUCUGGAUACCUUGGGCUCAUGUCUUGGCCAUUGGUCCUGUCAGCCAGGUCCCCUGGUCCAGCCAUAACUGAGCUUGCAGAGAUCAGUUCUCCAAUGAUGUAGUAUGUGGGAACAGUAUACUAUUAUUCAAAUUAAAUUGAGCAAGGGUGAGGUGAUCUAAGCUUCAGUUCAUCAGAUGGUUCAUUUACCAGAGAAAAAGAUAUUCUGACUUGCUAAGGACAUAGUUCCAGCAGCAUCAUCAAUGCUUUCAGUCACAAGUGUCUCCAGUGAUGUCCCAGAGACCACAUGGAACCAAAAAACUUCUGCACAACAACACUCUGACACGUCCCUCAUGCUUUGGCAAAAAAGACCUCAGGUUCAUGUAUGCUGCCUCUGGUCAUGACCUCCACAUGAUCACCAGGCUAGAUUUCCCUUUUAGCCAGGUAGGUGGCUUCUGCUCUUCUUGGUCCUUAAUCCUGAACCUGUGGCGUAAAGGCUGUUCCCUUUCACCAGCGCAGCAGUGUGUGCAAGGAUCACCUCACAUGCCUGCAAGAGGUUUUCACAUCCCAGGGGGAUGUUUACCAUUUUCCCAGCUCGAGGCAUUCCUGACCCAUCUUCACCAGCUGUUCCCCAUCAAGUAUUCAUACAGUCAAUUGUUCCUGCCUGUGUGUAGGACCAGGAACCUCCAGGCCCACCAAGAAGCUGUUAACUCCAACAAGGCAGUUUUCACACCACAGCACUGUGCCUGUGACAACCUUAACAUCGGUAGUGAGGUCUCAGUUUAAGACCGGAAAAGCACUUGCAAGGUGUCUUCUGCCAUACCUAUAUGUGUUUGGGGGUUUAGUGAACUUUUGUCCUUGUAGAAGAGGUCAUUCUUGUUCUCUGUCUUUUGGCAUUGGUGUGUCAGAUGUCUGCAGACCAACCCCCACUGGGACAGGUGUGGUGUUUAGGCCCCAUCUAGUAUAGUGCACUCAGUUUUGGGACACCCAAUACAAGACAGAUGUUGAAAAUCUUAAUCUUAGCAGAAGGAGGAAGAGACAUGGGUUUUUUCCUGCAUACAACAGAUUGUGGUGGUUCUGCUGCAGUUGUGUAUUUGGAAGGAGGCCUUAUUUUUAUCAUCAUUCACAAAUCCUUGUACGAACCUCAAGCAAGGAUUACAUUUCCUUUUAAUGGCACUGAGUUACUGUUCAAGGAGUCCCCAUAGCUGUUUUACCAUCACAUUGUUUUUGUGUUUGGGAAUUCAUGUUUUUUUCACUCUCAUUUUUAGGGUUUUUCUAGAGCCCCCUCUGCAAGGCUGUUUUCUUGCACUUGGCUGUACUGGGAUGAGAAAAGGGUCAAGAGCGAGGUCCAGCCUUCCCAUGCUGUGUCUGGUUCUUCCAUCUGCAGCAGCCCCAUUGCAGGGGGACCAAGCCCCCGCCCACAGUCCAGGGCUUGUGUGGGAUCCUCUGCUUUCCUUCCACACAUUGCUACCUGCUUGUUUAAUUCCUCAAGCUGUAGUGCUAGCCAGGAUAACAAGCUUGCCUCAUUAAAAGAUGAAGUUACUGAAUGUCGAGGGCAUUGAAAACCUGGGAUGAAAACUGUCUCCUCUUAAUCAUGUGAUGAUGGUAAUUAUGUGGCUGUCUUGAAACUAGUCACUCUAGACGCAUGGCCCCUUAAUUUUCUGACAGCAGCAAGCAGAUCAGUGGAUAGCUUGUAGAUCAGAGGACAAUGCUGCAGUAAGAGGGAACUAGGGCUUCAGGAUGUUGUUCAAUACAAAGUAUCCUUUUAAAAAGUACUAAAGAAACCCAGCUAACUUGUUUUCCAUAUAGGAUACAGCCUGAAUCUUAAUGCUCCUCUUAUUCUGCAGGGAUGUAGCAGUCUGAGGUUUGGUUUUGCAUCUGAAGAAGAGCUGAAUGCUAUGAGGUCAGUUCAUGGGGCAUAGAUGCACUCACUGUGCCAGGGGAAGGUGACAGGGACAUAAAAGCAUUUGGGUGAAAGACAGAGGCUUUUCAUAGAAUCUGAUUUCCUUUCAGGGACUGACAAAAUCUAUUUCCAGCCAGCUUGUUAAUAUUAGUAUAGUGAGAGCCUGGCAGCAAUGGAAAGCUGUAGGUCACUGCUCCAAAAGCUUCCUGCAGGAGGAGGGAGUUAUCUAGACAAACAAGAACACUGAAGAGAACUGUGAGGAUCGAAACAGGAUACUGGUUUCUCUCAACUCACACAGCAAACCUGAAAAGUCCCACCUUCUGACACUGACCCAUGUCCUUCCCAAGGCUCCCCCUCCUUCAGGUGUCUGCACGCUCAUGCAUCAUCUCUCAGCCCUUUGCAGAUGAAAGAAAAAGGUCGCUGGUAAAAUUUUCUCUUCACCGUUGCUGACAAGCAAUUUGUCCAUUGCUUAUCUUCAGUGCACACUGUGCUAGAGAGAGCCCUGCUAGCCUGUGUGUGCUUCUAAGGGUCUUGAGGCUGAUAUGGAAAUGUCUGACGUGUCUGCAUUCUCUGGACCUCACGUUAUGGUGUGGAUUGAUGUUUCCUUUAGACUUGAGGUCAAAAGCCAUAUAAGAAUAAAAAAAAACCUUCAUAAGAUCACACAGAACCACAGAAUGGUUGGGGUUGAAAGGGAUCUCUGGAGAUUAUCUAGUCCAAUCCACCUGCUAAAGCAGGUACAUGAGUAUGUCGCACAGGGAGGUGUCCAGGUGGGUUUGAAUGUCUCCAGAGAAAGACACUCCACAACCUCUCUGGGCAGCCUGUUCCAGGGCUCUGGCACCCUCGAGGUAAAGAGGUUUCUCCUCAUAUUCAGAUGGAACCUCCUGUGCUUCAGCCUGUGCUUGCACCUCAUCCUAUUGCUGGGCACCACUGAAAGGAGUUUGGUCCCAUCCUUUUAACACCCACUUUUGAGAUAUUUAUAAACACUGAUGAGAUCCCCUUUCAGCCUUCUCUUCUCCAGGCUGAACAGACACAGUACUCUCAGUCUCUCCUCAUAAGAAAGAUGCUCCAGCCCCCUAAUCAUCUUUGUAGUGCUCUGCUGAACUCCCUGCAGUAAUUUCUUGUCCUUCUUAAACUGUGGAGCCCAGAACUGGACGCAGUACUGCAGAUGUGGCCUCACCAGGGCAGAUGUUAUAAAUGAACUUACUCUGUAGCUGGUCUGACCUUAGUAUCCUUAGCAAACAAAUCAGUAAUAUUUUCUAAGAUAACAAUGUUCCAGAGCAAAGUUCCUCUGAGCUCUGAAGGUCACCUGUGUUCCCAGAGCACUACUGGAAGGUAAAAGCAUCCCCUUGGUCCAGUGCUUCAUUCCUGCCCUGUGAGCAGUACUAGCCUGUUCCCCACAGGUCGGUCCAGCUUUGAGAUCCUGAUGACUUUUAUACUGCAGAUUUGUUGGCACUAAGCAUCAUUGGUGUUCCAGGCUCAAUUUGUCUGUUUUAGGUGGCAAAAUCUGAAAUUAGGAUCUUGAGGAAGUUUGCAGACAGGAGCAAGAAGAAACAUGAAAAUAUCCUUAACCUUUUAAUCACCAUGCUAUUUUAAUCUAGGACUGCACUCUGUUAACAUAAAAACACCAGUUACAUUUAUUUUGUUAAGGCUUUGCUCAGUAGAGCCAUAGUCUAGUGCAGUUCUCAAGUAUAUUUUUAGGAUCUACACAGGGGUGAACAGAUGGCUUUUUUGUGUGUCUGUGUAAGAAAACCCCUUUCUGCAAACAGGGGAUGUCAAGUGCACUAAUUAAAUUGAACAGAUUCACGUUCAUGUAUUAAGUUAAUUGUGCAGCAAAACAGAGCUUACUGUCAGGUUAGUUUCCACUCAGCGCAGGUAAAUCAAUUAAUUUUCCAGUGUGUUGAUGGAGGAAAACUGUGAUGGAUAUGCAGGUAUUCUAGCUAGGUCAGACAUCAGAGCACACACUGCAAGCAGGACCAGGAGUCUUUUCCUCCUUGCUGAUACCAGCAGGAGUUGGUUUGAUCCAGCCCAUGGUAAGUGCUUUGGUAGCUCAGUCUGGCUUGGACAGGGCAAUGGGUCAGCGAUGAAUACAUAAAAAAGAUAGCUGCAAAAUCUCACUGAAGAGUAGAGGGUUUGAGGCUAGGGAGAGCCAUUAAUGACCAUCCCAACCUUCUGUAGGAGAGAGGGAAAGAUUUUCAGUUGAUUGGGCUCAGAUGUAUUGCAUUGUAUCUGAUUGUAUUGGCAAUACAAUCAAAUGCUGUUGUAUUACUCAUUGCUAAUAAAAUCAAAUAUGUGUAAAUGUAUUAAAUCUCAUGAAUUGAAUUAGUAAUACAUAUAUCUGUGCAUUUAUAAAUGGAUAUGUGCUGCUGAAUAUGAGCAAAGAGAUUUUGAUAAUUCCCAUUUAGCUGUAAACAACUUUCAUGAAAACUCCCUCUAAGGUCUGGGGAGAAACAGGGACUUGAAGGACUCAUCUGACUAAUUCUAGGCAUUUGCUUUACGAUCAGAUGACCAAAACCCUGAAAGACUCUAUUGCUCCAUGCUGGUUGAAACGAGGAGGUAGUGAUUAGCAUGGAUGUAAAUGUCUGCAUUGCUAGCAUAUGUGUUUCUUAAAUAAAUCUGAUUGUAUUUUAACUGGAAAGCUUUUAGAAUUUAAACACCAACAACAAAAAAGUAAUUUUUGGGUGAACCAACAGAUGGCAAAAUAGAAGAGCAACAACCCAGUUAAUAAAAACUGUCUUGGAAGAGUUUGUAAAUUGGCCAUGUCAUUGAGGUGAAAGUCCCAGGUUCAUUUGUCAUGCACCAGAAAUAACAAUGGGAAAUAGCUCAGCCUUGAAUCCAGCAUGCUCCCAGGAUUUUACUGAAGAAAGGCCCAGUGAAGACUGACAUGCAGGCUGCGUUUAAACCAUGCUUCCUAGGGAUUAACUUUUCAUUAGAGUUAGUCAGAAUCAGUAUCAAUAUCUUUCAGAUGUGGGAGUCAUGGUGAGCAGAGUGAAGUCAGCAGAGGGUGUGAGUAAUGAUAAAUACAUGUGGUGUGUCUUUGUUGUCGUAGCAAGAAUAAUUCUGCCAAAAGUAGUGCUGUGAUUUAACUUGAAUAUUAGGUUUGGCCUAUUAUUAUACUGCACAAAUUACACAGUUUAAAACUUUUCAUCUGUUUGUUGCCUCUCUUAAUGAGCAGGAAAUUUAAGCAAGAGAAGCAUAAGCCACAAGCAGAACUGUUUUACAUCUGACUCAAGAUAGCCGUGGAUCAUCAGCAUUCCCAGAUCAGCUUAUUCAUCUUCAGUGUUCAAAGACAUUUUAAAACAGAAAAAAAGCCCCCAAAUUCAGAUCGUUGGUGAGAUGCUGAAAGGCAACAUUUGCAAGACACUGCUCAUAAAGUUUCCCAAGCAGAAGGAAUGGUAAGACAAGAGAGGUUUUGCCUGUCCUCCAAACUCAGAUAAAGCAGAAUUACCCUUUCGCUUAGCAGAGGUUUCAGUCUCAUCUGCAGUGCUGAGGUUUUGUUCUGGGGGGCUCCAGGAUCUGUUGCUCAUUACAUAGUUGGAAGUCAGGGAGUAUCUUCUGUCCUGCUGAGGUUCAAGUGGGCAGACCACAGGGGAGUUAACACGGUGACACCACAAAAAUGAUAGACAAACUUGACAUUACUACUUGUAGGGCAUCAACUUACACAGGUCUUCUCAUCACUGAGAGCCUCAAAAGAUUCCCCAUGGACCUCGCAGCUGGGGAAGGAGGAGACCUGGGCUUGCCCUUGACCGUUAUAUUGGGGUUUCACUGCUCAGUAUGGAGCUGGCUCUCAGGGCUAUGGGCCUCCUUGGCCCUUUUAUCCUCUGCCCUUUCUUCACUAAAGGCUGUUCCUGUGGCCAAAACCCGGGCUGGGGGUGGUGUGCGGGCAACUCCUGGCUUGCAGCAACCCUGCAGGAACAUCUAGCAGAUCUCCCCACCUGGAGUCAGGUCCCAGCUCUGCAGGUCAAGAACGCUUUUCCUCAUUUACUCCUGCUGUACAAGAAGGGUAAUGAUGCCAGGCAACUAUUAAAAUUUCACAUCCAACAUAUUUUGGCUUCUUUCUGUUUUCAUAAAAAGCUGAGCACAUCUCACAGUUUUCUCUGUUUAUAGAGCAGGGCAUGGAAACAGAAUCAGGGACAUAUGUUGUGUUUGUUCCAGCAACUGUGUGGCUCAUGUUACAGAACCAACCAGCAAGCACUGGCACACAGAGGAACAGGAGCAGCAGAGCAGCUGGACAGUGCUGGAUGCUCAUCUUGGUGGUUUCCAAAGUGCUGUGAGCACGGUAUGCCAGGACUGUUAUUUCUAAACAUCCACUCAAUGUCUGCUGCCUGUGUAAAAGUUUUUGCACCCCUUAGCUUGAAAACUACAAAAAACUACAAAACUUUUUAACACACAUAUCUAUAAAUAAACUUGCUCUCAAUCAAACUUAGGCCUUUUGGCUCUUAUCUGAAGAAGCUGCCACGGCACCCCCUUGAGGUGAAUCUCCUUUUCCCUGCCCUUGCUCCACAGACCAAGCCAGUUGUCCUGUAUACUGUCAAAGGCUGAGACUCCAUUCUCUACUUGUCAUUUUGGCAGCAGUCUCAUUACACCGAGUCCUUCCUGACGUGGCUUUCAGCUAGGAGGGAUUCAGUUUUAUCUGAGAGCUGCCAGGAGGAACUCAAGACAAAACAAUGUGCAAGGUGUUAGACUUAAAAAAUCUGUCUUCAGUGUUGCCAUUAGUCUUGCUCAAAUACCAUACUCUUUUUGUAUUUUCUUAUAUCUUGCAAUGAGUUAAUAAUAUCUACCAUUAUAAUGGCUUCCAGUGUGAGAUUUCAGAGCGUUUACACUUGGUGGAUGAGCACGGAUCAGUAACUCGCUGAUGACUCGGUCGUUUACUGGAAGAAGCAGAAACAGAACUGGAGCUUCUUAAUUAGCAAAACUUGAUACAGUUUAGCAGAGGGCAAAAUCCUGCCCUUUGGUUUGCCAGGCCCAUAUGUGCUAUAUAAUGAAAGGUAAUUAGUGGGGGGUGAUUGUUUGCAGAGUGUGACAACUCUUUCUCUAAGGUCUUCGGGUUCACACCUAUUUUUCCAUUCUGUAUCUGUCCAGUAGCCAGCACACUGUGGUGUUUUCCGUUACCAAAGAGCUGUUAGUGAUAGCGACAUCAUCAUCAUUCAGAACAGCCUCUGCAUUUUCUGACCUGGUGUUUGUUCUGCAGAUUAAAUAACUAACCAUAGUAAAAAAUAAUAGAGACGUAGUCUGUGUGGUGCAAAGGUACGAUCUGGGCUGUCAGUCUGGGACGGAAGAGAAUUAUGAUAUACCCCUUUGGCUGUCCGAAUUGCAGCUCCACUGAGCACAGCUGGGAACUGCAGUAAAUUAAAAAAUUUAGAGUAGUGGGGCUGUAGACUGUGUGUGUAUAUUGUCAAACACCACCUGACAGGAGAGAACGUUUUCCUGAAUUGAUUGGGAGAAAUAAUAUCCUGACUGCCUUUUCCCUUUUUUAACUUAGGCAGGGAAAUGUAAAUAGUCCAGGCAUGGACUACAUGCCAUGUGUCUGGGAGCUACAGAGCAAAUGAAUGAGCUGUUACAAGAGGGAGAGAAAGAGGCGAUUUAUUGCAGCAGCGGACUGCAAGAUGUAGGCUAUAGAUUUUCUGUCUAAGAGAGCUGGGUAGUGCUUGCAGGUGUGUUGAGCAAGAUUCGUCUGACCUACAUCUCUGGUAUAAGCACAAGGAGCUAGCUACCUUCCCCUCUGGCCAACCAAGAGAGACAGUGACUCCUACACAGGAUCCCUAAAACAGGCAUCUGCAUUGACGAGAAAGGGAGUUAUGGGUGACCAGCACAAUUGUAUCUACUUCUGUAGUUAGAUCAAUUUUUUCAUUUGUGAGUUUAUGGCUGCUCAUGCUCCAGGGCACAAAAUUACCCCAAAUUAGCACCCUGGUGGGUCAUUCAGUAUUGCACGUCUAUUAGACUAGAAACUAUGAAGGGAGGAAAGCUGAGCUGGUGGUCAGGGGUAGAUUUAUUUACAGUGAGGAGAAGGGAGUGCAUAAAGAGGUUCAGUGUGAAAGGUAACAGGAAAGCUUGAAUGAAAGUAUGAGGGCAAUUUACGUGCAUCAUACAUAAAAUGGGACAUGGUCACUGGGGCAAGUAGAAGGAUAUAAAAUAAAGCUCUGAAGAAACAUGAAGCUGAACAGAACUUGAUAAAAAUAAAAAGAACGACUGUACUAACUUCCUUCUUUUAAAUCCCAUACAGAGCUUGCUGAAGUCCCUUCAAGAAGGAGAGCUGAUGUGGUCUGGCAGGGCAAAUGCAGGCUCUUGAAGGUCAGAGCAGGCAAGUUCAGGAGUGUAGAUUGAUGAGUAAACCCCAGACCUACGUGUUCUAUGUGAAGCUGCAAUAAAAGGUGGGAGGGCAAAGCUCCGUCCUCUCUGAGACCAUCACUUGUCAAGAGAAGGUAGUGUAAAACCUGCCUUUUCUUCUUCUGUGCUUGAGGAAUAUUUCAGAAUGAGGGGGGUGAUAUUGAAUUGUCUUGACUUAUGCUGUUUUUCCCAGGAUUCCUGCAGUGGUUAGGGAAGGGUUUCCUUGCUCCUGACCUUUUCAUUUUUGGUGGUGUUUGAUAACUUUGCUGACAGCCUGGGCACAGCUGGGGACAGGUUGUGACAUGGGCUGUCUGGGAGAGGCUGGUUUGGGUGGCAGCCUGUGGUAGUGCCGCUGCAGGACACCAUGUAAGUUGGUUUCCUGGCCCAUACUGAAAGAUUUCCACAAUUUUCUCUGAGGAAUCUUUCUGAGGGCUGACUCUGACCAGAAAGCCUUCCAAGCUGUGUGAGACAGAAGCAGUCAUAUGGAAGAAAGCAUUUGACUUGACAAAGUCCUCAAAGUGUUUCUGACUUGUGAAGAAGGUCUUGGUUCACUUGACCAUCUGAGCUACCGAAAUGUUAGUUCACUCUUGAGUCUGAAUUCAGAGUGAACUGACCAAUUCAUAGUGUCAUAUGUUCAAAAUGUUGGUUGUGAAAGUAGAUAGGGAUACGUGUUAACACUUAUUUAUGAAUUGCACUUGUAAAAAGGGAUUUAGCAACCCACUAGCUCCACGUUCUUGAAAUGUCUGUGGUUAAAAAUUAAUCCAGGUGGUUUGCAUUUAGGAAACUUUCUCUGCAGUUCUCCUCAAAGUAGCUAGGAAAACUUGUUACCACUUAUUUAUUAAUUAUACUUGUAAAAAGGGAUUUAGCAACCAAUUAGCCCCACAUUCUUGGAAUGAAUGUGGUUAAAAAUUAAUCCAGGUGGUUUACACUUAGGAAAUUGGCAAUUUGUCUUAAAUAAGCUUUAAAACACUGGAAUCUUCUAAUGUUAUUGGCCACUCAGAAACCACAGAAUUGUUCUGGAAAUGAUCACUUAAAACAGAAUUGGUUGUUUUGCAUGAACAUUUGCUUAACUGUUGAAGUCCUUAUCAGCUCGCAGCAGCUUGAGUCAAAUAUAAUCUACAGCAGAUGAAAUUUCAGAGCACUCUGCAUUUACGUGCCUGAUGGGAGGGAUUUUGGAGCUGUGAACUGAUGUGGCUUUGGACUCCUUGAAUCAGGAGACUGUGAUGGUAACACAUGCCAACACCGUCGCUUCCUGGAGGCUGAAGCAUCAACCCAGCACCACAAGGACCUGGAGAAAAGGUUUUCUGAUUAUUUUAGGGGUGACUGAGGAGUGGUUUUCCUAAUAAGAAACUCAGACCGAUGCAGUGAUAGACCAGACCUGCUACCACUGUUUUUACCCUCUGUGCAGCUGCUGCCACAAUGGCACAACGCCCACUGCAGCACCAGAGCAAUUCCUGCCUCUGUCUUAAAGGAGAGAAGACCUGAACUCUCUUCUCUCCAUCGGUCGAAUAAACUUGCUGGGUUAUCAUGAAGGAAUGCAUUAUUUUAGACAACAGUAGGGAAACCAUAGCAGUCCUUACUUCUCUCAGUGAGACACCAGCUGUAAUAUUUAACACUUCAAAUGUACAAGUGCAACUCUCCUUGUGUUGUACAGCUUAAUAAUGAGAACCUUUCUGGCCAAAACCCCUGCAAAAGCACUCUCUUUCUGCUAGCCUGCCGUGACGUUCCUCUUCCCCUUCUCUGAAUGUUAUGCUUAGAAACUGGGAGAGCUGUUAGUGGAUGGGAAAAAAAAAACAGGGCUUUUCUGGUGUUUGGAUUGCUAUGGUGAUUUAUGCAUAGGGUUAUCUACUGGAGCUUCAGGGAGCAGAAUUACAUAUCUCAGGUCAUCAGAUUAAUUCUCAGGAGGCCAAACGCUCCCAUUAGAAGUGGUGACAGAUUCAGCUACCAAGCACUGCCUUUCAUGGAGCAUCUGCAGUUGCUUCAGAAGGCCAAAGGCUUUACUAGAAAUGGACUUUUUUUUUUUUUUUCUUUUUCUGAUGUGCUGCAAAGCAAAGGGACAGGAAACAGCAGUUCUUGCCCCAUGGAGCUCCAGUUGCUGGGAGGGGAAGAAGGCACCACACUGCUGCAGAGCCUGUGGGACUGGCCCCAGCUCUCCACGGGCCCUCCCCACACAAACACCAGUGUCUGCACUAGCAGAGGGACUGCUUGCACGAGUGCAACACGUUCCAGUCUCUCGCCUGCAUGCUCUGCACUGGGACACUUCCAGCUGGCAGGUCUUCAAGAAGCUUGAGGACUUGUGCUGCAUCCCACAGGGAACAAUGCGGUGCGUUAUAACAAAGUGUGCUCAGAGCUUGUGGGCUUCCGCAGCACUGCUGCAGUGAGGAUUACUCCCAUGUCCAGGGGUGACAAGAUCCCUCUCUGUGCCUCUUGCUAUUUGGAAAGUAAGGUAAUGCAGCCACAUAUACAUGUCCCUAGGUGUAACUGAUUUAAAGGGCAGCAGGAAGAUGAUAGAGGUUAUCACUUAUACUUGUGAAAUGAACUGAGUUAAACCAGACAGGAGUGAUGCCAUGAGCAGUGAUGGGCAGUAUUUUCCCUGAAGUUGCGUUGAAGUUUUAUAACAAGUGCUAUUGAGUUUCAGUUCAAAAAGUGGGCUGGCUGAUAAACAUGUGCCACCACAGUCCAAAGCUGGUCCCGUCACCGAUGGUGCAGACGUCAGUGUAAAGCCACACAAUGUUUUUAAAGCAAAGAAAUGGAGCAGUACACUGUAGAACCAGUUAAAGUUAAUGCUAAAAAAAAACAGUUCAUAGUCAUUGGCCGUUAAGUAGGCAAUUAAAGAAAAAUGUUCAUUAGAUAAUCUCAUUAAAACAAAGCUGAGGAACUCAAGUAAUUUACAGACACCAAUAUGGACAAUCAGUUUUCUCAUUUCCAUUGAUUUGUCUCAUUUCAAAUAUCUGGAAUGAUGCUUACCAUAUCUUUGCAUGAAGUCUGUAAAUUACAUUAUGCACAGUGCAAGCUCUAUCAGAGAGGCUCUAACGGACAAAAUACUCUCUCACUUCAUUAAACAGUCUAACAUUGCCGCAGACAAACAGAGUAACUUCUGAUCUCCUCCUUAAUCGGGUCAGGAUAUAUUUUGUGAUACAUAUGGCGUUUUCAUAGACCAAGGGACAUAAAAAGUUGGCUCUAACUCUCACUGGUGUUGGAAUAAAGAAAGUUGUUUAUUAAACAGUGUAACUUGGGUAUUGACUGGCCAAUUACUAUAUCCUGUAGAAGUUUUCGAAAAGAAGUGAAGCUGGUUUCAUAUAGGGUCAGUUGGGUGUGCUGUUUCAGUCUGUCCUUGUUUAUCCAUAUAUGUCUUUGUAUUUGAGGCUGAGGCUCCUCAGGUUGUUGCAGAUUCACUGUCACCAUUCAAAGGUGGCAUCUGAAAGUGUCAAAAGCCACAAGGUGUGGACUUAUGGCCACUAUAGAAGUUUCCAACUGCUGUAAUCACCCUAUCUGAUGCAGAAUAAGUAUCCUUCCUAAAUUCACCAAGAGAAAAAGCUCAUAUGAAACCCUCAUGUUUUUCUCUGUAUGUCUGUCUAUGCCCUGGAUUCUCUCAGGCAUUGCCCUAGGUAGCCCACAGAAGUGCCCUCAGCCAAAGAAGAGCCUAUUCUAUUUAAGUAUUGCACCUUAUCAUUGUGAUGACAAAAAGGCAAGAUACAUUUUAUACCUACUUUGAACUCCCAAAUCACUUCACGUGCAUUAUUUCUCAUUUUUCCCCACAGUGGUUAGAUUGCAUUUGUCCUGCUUGGCAAAGUACAGAAUUUAGAUGACUUGAUGGCUCUUCAUUUUGGCUUGUGUUGAGCAGAGUAACUUCACAGUCCCAUUUUCAAUAUUGGCUUCAGUCAUGUACAUCCUGCAGUGCAUAAAUACCCCUCGCAAUCUGGAUGUAACUGCUUUGGUGAAGGAUAUAUGAUGAGUUACUCUGAUGACUUGGUUCUGAAUUCAGAAAUACCUGGAAUCUCGCCUUGAGCUGCCUUUGCUAGACCAUGACUUUGAGAGUUUUAUGAUGAUUGAUGGUACUGUGGGAAUAAUCAUUAACACUUAGGGCUUCUUAGGACUAAAAAAAAUAUAUAUCUUGAUAAAUUCAUCUUCAUGGCAUAUCUGAGAAGGUGAGUGACUAUUUGCCAGUCUGAGUCAAGGGGAAAACUGAGCUGUUCUAAUUUACCCUUUUUAACCCAUAAGUUUCAGAGCCCAAACACAGCCUUGAUUUCCCGUGCUUAACCCCUGAGGCCACUGUGCAGACACAAGGGGAGUGCCUUCAUUUUUUUAGCCUUCUAAACAAUUUUGUUUGUUUGUUUUGUUUGGUUUUUUUUGUGAAAUAUCUGUCCAGAAACACUUUCCUGGAACAGAUGUAAAACCCUGUGGCACUCAGAGCCAAACUCUCUGAACUCCAUUCCCAGGACUGGCUACAGCAGUUUGGCAGGGAGCUCAGUGGAAGCAGAAUAAUGUUGAUAUUUCAGUUACUGUAAGUUUGCAAUAAAUAUCCAAAGCAUUAAAAAAAAAAUAGUUUAAAUGCAAAUGAAGCUCUGCCUUAAUACAGUUACGCAACUUAAAAUGCCAAACAACCUUUCCACUCUAGCCAUGAAAUAACAAUAUAUCAUCUGCAGUAUUAUGUACUUGCCUUGAAGUCUCAAAAUACAUGUGGAACUCAACCAAGAUCUGGAAAGAAAAACACAUUCCUUCAGAAUACCUCCCGAGUCAAAAUGAAACCCAGCACCAUUCACUACACAAAUACCAGUCUUAUUAAAAAAACAAACAAAACAAAACAACCACAAAAACAACAAGCCACAACAAACAAACAAAACAAAACAAAAUAUAAAAGAGACUGGCAUUUCUUUUAAGGCAGUGGCUUUGCUCAAAGCUCCUGAUCAAAACCAGGGAUCAACAUGCUGCUAUGUGGUGUGUAUACACUUAUAAACUAACCAUCCUGCGUCUCCCAAAUCGUUGAGUGAAGACCGAUUAGUCAAUGUAAAAUUAAAGUUAAUGGGAUAGAAAGAUAAAUAUUCGCUGCUGUUUUUUUCAGGAAAGGCAUAUAAUUUGUUUUUUAUAAGCUUUGAAUAAAUUGUGAUUUAUCAAAACGUACAAACACAUUAUGAAGAGUAAGGCCUGUGCUGUUUGUGCACAUUAAAUAUCUCCAAGCACAUAUUACAAAUAGGGAAAACCAGAUUUUGUUCUGAAAUGUUCCCCAAAUAGCUUCUGUAGGUGCUUUGUUCCUAUGUAUGAAGGAUCUGAGAGUGAUUCUUUGAUGAAGGUCAUUAUUGAUUUACAGAAGGUGUAUAAGUUUGUAUAAGUUUAGAAUUUGUAUCUAUUGAAUAAAUAGAUUAAAAAAUUCACACUUGUCAAAACAGAAGUUCUGCCCAGGAGAACAUUGGCCUUGACAGGUGUUUCAGUUCUAAAAGGCCUCGUGAAAGUUUUAACGCAAAAAUAUUAUAAUUAUGGCUCAAUAUGACUUUUAAUUAUUUAAGCUAAUAUUUUUGGCAGAUGCAAUAUGACAUCAAAUCGAUAUAUUUUCCACUGACAUCACAGUUUUUUGACUUGUAAUUUCAAACUUCCAGGAUUUUGUCUUGUUCUAGAAACAGAAAAAGGCCUUAAAAAUCCUUUUUUAAUCCCCCAAACAGGAAAGCAACUGGAUAAGAUUUUAAUUGAUCAGAAGAGCAAUGGCUUGGGGAGUUCAUCUCCCUGCCAGCUUGCAAGGCUAAUCACUUCUGGGGACAGUUAAGUCUCUUAUAAUUCUUCUCAGAUGUCUAGCAGUGGCUGUAGUGCUUGGCCAAAAUAUGGACUUACGUACCUUGCUAAUUGUAUGUAAUUUGGGGUUGUUCAGUAUUUUAUCAUCCUUCCACGCUGUUACUAAAAGCCUAUGGUAUCAUUUAGCCAGCUAAUGCCACAAAGUAGGAGUUUUCCUAGUAGCACUUAAUGUGCAAAACAAAUCAGCUGAAUUACACAAAGCAGUGCAAUGAAGUGGUAAAUAACCUUGACAGGUGUUGUCUUAAUAGACAGCGGGAGGUAAUUACCUCUAAGGGGACUGUCAAUGAAUUAAUUUUUGGGCAGGCAAUUCAGCUCAUGAAUUGUUCAGAGACCCCCAAAUGCUGUUCACAUUCUUGUGUAGUUUUAAUUCCCUUAGCCAGGAGCCUUCAGUUAAUAACGUCCUCUAAGCAUAAAUAGAAUUGAUUUGACCAUUGCUUCCACACAAAUUUAAGUGCAGAUUUAGCCAUUGUAAUUAGCUUCAGAAUUGACAAUAAGAGGAACUGGCUGGAGCAUCAGGUGGAGCUGUGAUCACCGCAAGGUAGACCCAGAUUUUCCUUAGGUUAAAGACUCAUGUGAGGGUUUUGCAGCAACUACAGAUUUUUUGGGUGACUUCAGAGGGAUGCUGACCAAUCUUCAUAACCUUCAUGUCAUCCAAACCUUUGUGCUAUUACAGCUCUGUCCCAUGGAUCUGGAGGGAUCGAGUCGGACAGAUCCUCCUGAGUGACCAUGUCCCUCUGGCCAGGGCGCUGGUCUGAUCCAGAAGGGAUUUCCUCCGAGAAGGAGCUGGGACAGUGGUACUUGGUACUUGGUUUUGGUGUGGUUAGGGAUGCUUGAGGACAAGAUUGCAUCAGAGGACCCAGCUUCUGAAUGGUCUCAGCUACAGACAACCCCAUAUUGACCCGGGCUGGUCUGUUCUCCUCGCAAGGGGAGGGGUCAGCGAGGGCUUGGGACAUCUUGGGGAACUGAUGAAGCUGGUGGGCAGUGAACUGGAAGCUUUCCACUUUGAAGGCUUUGGAGAGGAUUAUACUGAAUUACUUCCUGAUACAUUCGGCUCUUAAUUUUCCUUUCCUUUAAUUUACAGGUGUCUUCCAUUGAAUGAGAGAGAUAAUGAUCUGUGAUUACCUGUAAUAUUUAUAGAUGUGCCUAGGCAGGCAAGAGAAUACAUCUCCCUCUCACAGCACUCAAGCCCCCCCAAAGCCUUUACCCAUGUCUCAGGCUCUGAAAGAAAACAAUCAGCAUCUCUAGUGUGUGGUGGCCACUUGCUGCAUGUGAUAACCAGAGAUGUGUAAGCAUUCUUGGUAUUAUUCCUCCAUAUAUGAUAUCCCUCAGGUCAGUGUAAACUGAGACCUGUGGUCAAUCCUGCGUUAUUUUGUUGAAGUUGCAUGCCAGCAACAUGCUCCCAGUUUGACUGGAUCAUGACCUUGAAGUCAUUCUCAAUAUGACAUCAGCUACUUUGGCACAGGCAGGCACACAUCUAGGGUUACACUGUGGUGACGUGUCCUCCCCAUUGGUUUAGUAGGACUAUCUGUUUUUACAAAGGAUUUCCCCCUGCUUCUCUUGCAAGGUAAAAGAGUCAAAAAAUAGCAGCUGCCUGAUGGCAUAAACAUUUCUGUCUCACUGUGUAUGAGUCAGGUCUUGAGUAUUCACCAACAUGGCAGACAAGUCCCUGUGCUGUUGGUGGUGGAAGAGUGGCCAGCUGUUGUCCCCCACAGGCCAUGCUGGAAGAGCUGCGGAACAGAGCCCAGGCCACCCCCAGGCUACCUGCAACGCAUCUCUUGGAUCUGCUCCUGGUGUUUCUUAUGUCAUUGGUGUCCCCAAUGUCUCUUACAAGAUGAAAAGAAGGGACUGAAACUGCUUCUCUUCUUCUUCUGUCCCUGUUUGUCAGCACAAACCGUCUUCUACAGAAAAUGCAGCUGUUGGAAAGGAAACCUUUGUCGUGGAGUGGCUUCUGCUUGACCAGAGACUGACAGCUAACCAUCCAGAGAUGGCAGACUGGUAAAAUAUUGACAAGUUCCAUGCUCAUCCUCUGCAUGACUCCAGUAAAAUGCUGCAUACAGUUUCACUCUCAGCAUGGCAAUCAUCUAUGAUUCAGCUGCCUUCGGUCUUCUAAAAUUUUAGGUAGAGCUAAAGGGGGCAGACAAGCACAUCUGGAGGGACCAUCAUCCCAGAUGACUUAGGCAUUGCUUUUAGGGUAGUGUGAAUUAACUCCUGAUACCUGGAUUUUUUAGGAAAAAUGGAUCCCCUCUUCAGACUGAGAAAACCUAACUGUAUGGUAUAAUUUUACCCAUCUUGUUUUCAUGGAUUUUUGGAAACUUGGCUUUUAUUUAGAAAGACAUUAUGUAGAUAUUUCUCUUUCUUUUCCACUCUGUCCCUGUUAGACUUUUCGUCAUACUAGCAGCAGUAUCAGUAGAGUCAAUAGGUCAAGAACACUGAUCUCAGUGAUGCUAAUGUACAUGGACUCACACCAGCUCUGCUGCCGGUCCACGUUUUAUUGAAUAUCUGCCAUGAUUCAGUUUCUGAAUAUAGCUUUAGCAGAUGUAUAUUCCUGUUUGCUUUAUUCUUGUGUGUAAAGGUUGUGGAAUCAUGCCUCCUGUCUACAGAGAAUAUCACUUUCCAGGAAGACCAGGCAGAACCAUCAGAACUGGCCGGAAGGAGGUGACUCAAACCAUCAGAGAGCCAAGACUUCACUGAUACUCUGAUGAACAGAAUGACAAAUUACCUUCUCAGGCAGGGUCGGGGUUCACUGAAACCAUUAAUUUUCAUGUGUUUCUCAGAGCGUCCAAAAAGUCACCUUCUUUCCCCACCCAGAUGGCAGAUGACAGGGCAUUUCGAAGGAAAAGAAGAAUUCUGCUGUUGAAAUAAGUCGCUAAUGUUAAGUGCAUGACCUGACAGCACAAUGCAGGGUGAACAAAGUAAAAUCAGGAGAGGGCAGCCAAAAUGUCUUCCCACGUCAAUACUGUGUAAUUGGCUUUUAUUGCAUAAAGAACUUGGAUUUUUGUGGGAAUGUAAUCCAACAAAAAACAUUUUGAAUGAAUAAAUCAGCUUUCCCCUAUGUUAAGCUAUGUGCAGAGGGGUGCUGAAGCAUUCAGGGUAGCUAUGGUGACAGUAUCUUCCUGCUAACAAAUAAAUACUCUAGAAUUAGAAAAGGAUUUGUGAACAACCAGUAAUUGUGCAUCCAGAACACAAGAUUUUGUAGAAGAAAAAGUGGGUUGCACAGUUCUCAGACACAAGUUUUUAUAAUACACUAUUUAGAUGUUGCAUUUAGAUCCUGAAAACAGCCAAACCAGUACAUGCCUGAUUUGCUGAAGGAGCGUAACUUGGCCAGGAUCACAGCUUUUUGUCAUUUGUAAAGGCUGCAAUUUAUCUCUGCUUGCGCAAUUUUCAGCUCCUUUGGAAAAACUCUGCUGAACUUUUCACCCAGCUGGUGUUUGCUCACAGCCUGGGUGUUCUUUGGCAGAGCUGCCUUGUUCUGUGAGCAUUUCAGGGACCUUUCCUAUGCAAAUCUCUAGAGAUCUUGGGAGAAGAUGGGUUGUUGAAGGACAGUGUGGUGGUGGGCAGCCAGAGGACUUCUCAGACAUUGUCUGACAGACAUUAUCCCCCAAAGCCUAUAUCCAUCACGCUCUCCAUUGCACAUCAGAAAAUUCAUAGCUCGCACUGUGUUUUCCAUCUGGUCACACUCUAUCAGGAGAUCCGUAAGUGUGCCCAUGAUUUCACUGGGCUCUGCUCUGCUCAACAGCCAUGAAUACAGAAAUAUUUAUACUCAUAUGAAUUUGUUUGUGUCUGUUUAGGGGAGUUAUAUUCCUAUUUUGAUGUUAACCUCUUGAAUUUUGCAGCAACACACAGGCUGUUUGCCUUACUCUGGAGCUCAUAGUAUCUUGAAGGGCUCUUCUUGCUCUCCCAGUACCUCGGCUGGUUCCUGUGCCUGCCCCACAGCUGGCUGCUGGGAAUCAGCAGAUGGGUCAUCCCUCAUCCCCAGCAAUUGCAUGUCUCUCUUGGCCUCUCAGUGUGCAAAAUACAGAGUGCAUUGAUAACAGAAAUGUUUGCUAGGUAGUUUCCAGUCUGUUCGUACAGCCUUUCUGUUGGUCAUUUAAGUUGCCAAAGGUUCACACUGUGAUCAUUCAACAUCUGCUCCCUUAAUAGCAUAUUCUUUCCUUGCUGCAGGACGGUUGUUAUGUUUGAUGUAUUUCUUCAUUUCCCAAGGAAGUCAGAGUAUGGUAAGACCUUAGGAAACACAAUCAGCACAGCAACACUGCCAGUAUGAGUAUUUUGUUUUGGAGGAAAUUGUCCUUGUCUGAAGCUUUUGAAAGCAUUUUAUGUCCCUGUGAUCAUUCAGGAGUAACCAUCACUGGUGUCUGCCUGGACACUAUUUAAAUUUACUUUUUAAAUGAACUGUAACCAGGCUUAUUUUUGGAGUAGGGCUUAUAUUUUGAGCAUCCUCAAAAAUCCUGAAAAGUCAUGCUAGGGCUUAUUUUUAAGGUAGGUCUUAUUUUCAGGGAAACAGGGCAACUCACUGUUCCCGUUCUCAGCUGUUAGUGCUGCACUGCCAUGGGGUUGUGCACUGAGAAUCUGAGAUGGAGGAGAGGCAGGGAGGCAGGGCCAGGAGAUAUUUCAUCCACCACUGGGCAGUGGAAAGAGAAACCAACUUCAUGGACCUGGAUUGUUAUCUCCUGUGCAUUGCCCAAAAUCCUGAUGCAGUGCAACCAGGCACACCACAUGGCCCUGUGUGUCUGUUGAUUGCUACACUCAUUGGAGAGUUGUCCAACACCAAGCCAAACACUCUCCAGUUGCAAACCACUGUGGCUAAGGUCUGGAGCAGAAACACCAGACAGUUCUUUACCUGGAGUCUAUUGGGAUGAGUUGGGCAUACUGCUGGAGCAACACAGCUUCCCCAUCCUGGAGACCUGAGGAAGUUUCUGACAGUAUCACACAUUUUCUCCAGCAUCCCAGGAGAUGCCCUCCCCUGACAAUCCUACUGUAGGAGGACAGGCUUCCCAUGCAGAGGGGAAUUGAAUGUGAAGCACUCUGUAGGAAAAAGCAUGCCGAAAGCCAUCUAUUGGGGUUAUUUCAGCAGUUUAGUCCAGAUGAGCUCUUUGGUUUGACUGUGCCUACUGCUGUUGAUAUCAAAUGGGCGCCAAUACUUGAAUUUGGCUAGCUAAUUCCAUUUUUUUCUGACUGUGCUGGGCCUUGUUGUAUGGUACGUAGCAUUUUUACUCCAUGCCUUGCUAAGAAAGGUUAGAUUGUGCAGUUAUUAUUAGCCUGCAUUCAGACUCCUAGCAGCAGCAGGACACAAGCAGUAGCGCAUGUAAGGACAUGGGGUAAUGUGACCUUUUGUUUGUGCCAGGGUAUGGGCAUGGGUACAGAGAUACAGAAAGUACCUUAGACCUUUCUUCCCUCCCUUGUUCUAUUUACAACCUGAGUGUAUUUAAGGUAUAGGCAAAUUAAUCAAAACUGACUUAGACUUUAUUUAGCUCUGCAGUUCUUAUUUUGACUCUGUCAAACAUUUUCAUGGUAGGUUGGUUUCCUUCAGCUUAUUUAUUGAUCAUUUGACAGGAGAAUUAUGCAGUCACCCUUUUUUUUUUUUUUUUUUUACUUUUUGCCUCUACAGUUAAUUUAAUAAACCAAUUCUUCAAAUCAACAGGUGAAGGGUCAGUAUUUCAACAUGGCUGUUACAGAGAUGUGUGCACCUUGUCUUAUCAUAAAAUGCUAUGAGGAGUGAACCAACCGUCAUCUGUAAAGUAUGAGCUCAGCUUGCUCGUUAAACAGCCUUUUCAUGCUUUUUCUUUUUAAAGUAAGAAAUGAUGAUGUAAAAGAUGAUUAUCAAGGAGUGGAAAAGUAAGCAAAUCAGUAAUAAUAUUUAGGAAGUGUAUAUCAUCUUUCACCUCAAAGAUUUAAAAGUGCUUGAUCAUCCACUAAUUAAGACUCAGACCCAGCAGGGUGUUACUGUAAUGAGUACUGAGACAUCCUGCUUCAUGCUGAGCUGAAAAUAGUUUUGAGCAUGCUAAUAAGUUUCUAUUGUAGAACUCCCUAUAGUCAGUAUUAACAGAGUCUGAAAUGUUAUGAACAGGAUGGGCAGUCAAAUAUUAGGGUCAAAGUAAAAAUUGUGUGGUUUACAAAGACAACAGUAGCAGUUUCUGUUCAAAAUACCUCUGAGCAAAACACAGAUUUUGCUUUAUUUCUAUUAAUACAAAUUAUUUACCUAGCUGGAUCCCCUUCUUAAAGUCUCAAUUGUAAGUCGUACUAAUGUUUUCAAUGUUUUGUUCUGCAGUCCUGUGGGAGAAGCUUUUUCCUAAAAAAAGCAGAAAUAUUCACAUCAUUGUGUGAUUUCAGAAGCUCUAGUUUUAAGUAAGACACCAAGUAUUAAGAGAUUUAUGAUAAAAUAAGGAGAGCUGGUAAAAAUUAGGAAAAAAGUAUUUAAUGAACCUUAAAGUCAGUCUUCAGUAUUUUCUUCAUGGAUCAAUAUGGAUUCUAAAGAAAUAGCAAUUACUAUAAAUCAACUUGAGCAGGGGGGUAACAAAGACGAUGCUAAAUUCUUACAUAGAAAUGAAUGAAAGCAGGAAAUAACUUCAGAUUUCUGAGUGGGAUGUGACACUAACUACGCUGUAAAGAGCAAAGGUGUCAUGGAUAAGUUUUAAGGAAAGCUUGUGUUUCUAGUCUCACUGUAAGUAAGGCUUUAGUAUUUCUCAACUUGCUAUAAAAAAUCCAUCCCAGUGGCAUUGAACUUCAACAACUGAAAAUGUUAAUAUAGAUGCUUCUGUGAGUAUUUGUUGUUAAAUAAGGAAGGAGUAUGAAACUGUUGUAAAAGAGAUUUUAAAGCCGUUAGUAUUCACAUGGCAUCCUUCUGGCGUUUACCCAGAUCCAAGUAACGGUAGCUCAGUACAUGCUGGAUUAAUCACAAAUUAAACUAGUGAUAUCCCAUCAAACAUGCACUUUCUGUCUGAAGUAGAAAUAGCUACUAACUAUUUCUUUUUGGUAUAUAAUUAUUAGAUAUCAUAUAGACAAUACAUUUUUUACCCACUCAGUAGAGGGUAUACUUUGAUCUGGAAUUUGCUGUAGGCAAACUGUGGCCCUUUCACCCAUAAAAGCCCUUGAGGUUUCUUGCUGGCCAAGGGCUUUUUGUAGCCAGGUUUAAUAUAUUGUUCUGGCUUGGUCGAAUCAUGCUAUGCUUUUGCCUUCUUUUUUGCACAGAGGAAAGAUCAAGGAACAAGUUUCAAAACAAUGAAAGGUCCCUUCUGUCUCCCGAUUCAGCAGCAGAAGUAGGCAGCUUAAAAAGCCUGGAGACUGAUGCCUACUGUUUUAUUUUCUGCUUUCUGUUCAGAUGGGAACAUUUUUCUUCUUUUGCUUCUUGACAAAACAAAUACGCUCCCCUCAGUAUUCAGCACUUGCCUGGUUUAUGUGAGUAUAGGCAGCUACCUUGGAGCACCUUUUCUGCCCAUUUUUUGGUAAGACGUAACUCAUCCUUGCAGAUAAUGAAAACCAUGUUCACUAAAAUGAUUUGUGCUGCCUUUGCACUUGAUGUCAUUCCUGCAUAUCUUGCUUCUGUAACAUUGCUGGAACAAGAUCGUUGCAAACACCACAUCUAGCCCAUGGCAGCCAGGCGUGUAGCACAGACCAUAGGGCUAACUGAUGAAUUGAGCUGUUUAAACCUGCAGUAAAACAUUCAAGAUUAUUAGGAAUCUUUAAUAUCUGUGUGGGGUGGCAUCUCAGAAAUAUAGAAUUCAUGAGAAUAGGCCUCUGUUCAACAAUUCCCUCUUCCCAUCUAAUUCUGUGGCAUAUUUAUAAGGCACUGGGUGACAGAGAUAUGGACAGAUAGAACUUUCACCCUUUCAUAGAAAGGACGCAGAAACUCUUGAUUCAUCUCUGAAAUGUGUGCAUUUUUCAUAUGGAAAUGAACAAACCCAACCACAGCAUUCCUGUCUGUAAAGGCUGGUUGAACCCACUACCUGUAAAGAAAAAUCCUGGUAGCCAGUGACACAGGGAAAAGCUGAAGAGAUACAGUGAUUAGAUACCAGGUUAGAUACCAGCACAAGAAACUAUCUCAGUGCACUGCCUACAAGUUAGAUGCUGGCUUCACAAUUAUAGCAAAGUCAUAUUCAUUUCUUAAAGCUCUCCUCCCAGCACAUGCUUGCCUACUCGCUUGGGAAUUGCUGGCUGUGGUGAAGUCCUGAUGUAUUUAUCUCUCUGUACCUCGAGAGAGGUGUUUGCCAUGGGAGGAUCUGGGGGAGCACUCAGGAGUGGCCCCAACCGCUGUUGGUCAGCAGCCAAGUCUUCACAUACAAUUCACCCACUGGCCUGAAGGAGAGCGGGAAUCUGUCGUGGGAGUGAUGGAGCACAGAGAGGCUUCUGGCAGCCUCCCGUUGUGUGGGUUGGGGUUUUAAUGUUAUUUCUAGAGCAGAUGCAGUUUAAUCACCCUUCAGUCAAUACUGAGGGAUUUGCUUUCCGCUUAAGCCAGGCGUCAACCUCAGAAGAGAUAUAUAGAGCUAUUAUUUUAAAGCACUUUGGUCACUAUUCCUUUCACAGCAAAGCAAAAUGUGCUUGGAUGUUUUUGUAGGUAAGUCUUUGAGGAGUCUAACUCAAAUGAUGUGGAAACUUAAGGUUACUGGCAGGAAAACAUAGCAACUCUGUGCUGCCUUCAAAAUCCCUGCACUUUAAACUCUUUUAUUAACUUAUCUGGUUUUCCUGUAGAUAUUGAUUCUGUCAAUUCUGAUUUCAACCUGGCUGCACAUGGGAGAAAAGUGAGGUCUGAGCAGAUAGUUGACAUGAAAUGAACAGCAAAUUAUUACACAACUGUAUGAAAUCCAGCAUAUUCUGCAAUGCCCAAAGUCAACAUUCAUUACAGAUGCCAAAACAACCAAACUCAAGGGACAGUUGAACAUGUAGGAACAGACAUAUAGUAUACAGGCUGAAGACUGAAAUCCUUGAUCCAAUGAACAGAAACGCUUCAUCAAGAUUUCUAUAGAUUGGACUUCUGUUCACCUCAUGAAAAAGAAAUAUUGACAGCACAUGUUGAGGGAGUAUGUAGAAAUCCAAAUUAUACUUGUCCCUGUGGUGAAGCUUUCUGCAGAGGAACGGACCAGACGUCCUGAAGGAACGGGACUUGGUUAUUUUAAACAUCUGUUUUCCAGGGACAACUGAAAAGGAGCUAGGGAAAGGUAAGUGCCUCAAUAACAGCACUACUUGCAAUCAGAAUAGACAGAGUAAAAACAUUUGUGGAAUGGAUUUCUGGUUUAUAGUUUUGUGUCACAACUAUAUUGAUAUACCUGAAAAGGGAUUGAAGGAAGCCAUCUUCUGGGCAAAUCAUUGCAUGACUGCCCUGGGGGACAGUUCUUCAACCUUCUGGAUCCUCCAGAGAUGGCCUUUCUCAGAGAUGGAGGACUGGGCUUCAAGUGCAGUAUGGAGCGGAGCUGACCUAGGAAUCCCUUGCUUGCUGUAUUUCUUACCUAAUAAUGGGCCUAAUGGAAAAAAAAGUUGCAGUGUACUCAUCAUGAGAAUGUAGUGUGGUUAACAUCUAGCUUGAACGGCUUCGUCCCACCUAUGUAGCAAUCCUCUGUACUCCUGGGUAGGAAGACAGGGUGUCUUGUUUUUACACCUCUAUGCAACACACCACCUGAUUUCAGCAGUGAAUGAAGUGUUUCCUGAGCCAAAAUUAUCCCAACAGUUGCUGACUUUGCAAAAUGCCUUGAAACCUUAAGGGUGAAAAGUGCUGAACGGGGAGCAAUGCAUAACUUUCUUAUUAGGAUGAAAAUUAAAUAGUUGUUGGAUGAUCUGACAGUGCAAAAUCCUAGUGACAAUUUUUCUGGCCUGAAAUUUUCUUUCCUCAGUUUGUCUGAGUCACAGAAAAGGCUAAUUCUGUAUUUCAACUGUGGGUACUCUGCUGGGGUGGAUUAAUGAACCACACUGAGCCUUCUUCUCCCCCAAUACUGUUUCAAAGACCAUUAGUCAGUAAUCGUUACUACUCUUGACCUACAUUCCUGCUUAAUUGCACAUAAAUAUAUAUUCUGUGAAACUAUCUUCUUCAGUUUUAGCCUGACAAAAGAUACUUUCUGAUGCUUUUCAUUUACAGGCAGGCAGCUGGAUAACAGGCUGAGCCAUCACACUUCAAACAUACAACAAAGGUGCCUGGGCUGAACACAGAGAUCUCUGCCUGUCUCUUCUAAACCUCUCUAGCCUGAUAGGCAACAAAGCAUCCCCCACCCAUCACAAGUGUUUUAAAGGCAGGCAGAGUGAUCUGGGCAUGAAAAUCUGGAUGACAGCUUUAACACCCUAUAGAUUUGCAGUCUUGGGGAGUGACAUAGCUUCUGGUAGUCCUGGUUUCCUUUAUGCCUUGAGCAAACCUAAAAAUGACAUUUGUAUUGUGUUCUGGGUGGGCAUGGCCAAGUUCAGAGAAGCAGUACCUUGUGCAUUAGAGGUGGCAUAAAAUUAGGACAAAUCAAGCUUUUACUGCACCUAAUUAAGGGGUAACUUGUUCCACAAGCAACAAGUGAUGUGCCAGAUUAAUUUCCUAUUACCUGCAACACAGGUUGCUUUUGUUGGAUAUCCUAAGCUUUUAUUGGCAUCAUUCUGCUUACAGACUGACAAUUUAGUAUAAAUUGAACAGCAACAUGAUUGAGCUGGACUCAAGGCCAUAUCUGUGACAGUCCUGCCUCCCUUUGCAGUCGUCCUCAGUCUGUGAUAUACUGGACUACACAGAGCACCCUGCCUGCUCCCUGCUCACCUUUCCAGGUCUUCCUUCCAUAAGGAUGAAGCCUUCCCUUUGCCCCAGGGUGCUGCAAGCCCCCAAAAGCUCACAAACAGCAAAAAGGAUACCAAGAAGACCAUGAAGUGGUGCUUAAGUAUCUCCAAAGUGGUACUUAAGUAUCUCUUUUGUCCAUCUUUUUGUCCCUAAUGCUUGCAGGCUGAGAUAUUUACAGUCGAGCCAAGUGUCCAGAAUAUGUCCAUGCAAAGGAGUUUAGGUCCCAGAGCCACAGUUCUCACCAUGUAAUUCAGUUACAACAAACUGGAGGAGGGUACCAGGGGUCAACUUCCAAUGUGGCUUGUUGCAGCAAAGGAACUUCGUGUUCCUUUGCUCUUUUGAUGGUCUUCUAGUCCCAGAAGUUUUUCUCCAAGGACUAGGGGGAGUCCCAAGAAGGCCAUCUCUAUUUCCCAGGUCUGCACUGGUAAGGCAGCUUUUUUCUCAGCCUUAUGGGUUCAGAGACAGAGGUCAGAAGUGGGAGCUGCUCAUCCUUUUUCCCUGGGAGAGCAGGGAAGAAGGAGCAAGCAGAGCUCUUUCAUGCCACUGGGCUCUCUCUCCCCUCUGCUCUAGUCCAGUCAGCUGCUCUUCCAUUUUUUCUGUCCCAGUAUCAUGGCACGGUUGCUAAAGCAGAGCUCUAUUAAAAUUGUGGUGUUAGGUCUUGCCAGGGCAUACUGCCCAAGCGAGGGGUCCCCAUGGGUGUAUCCAGGCAUGUUAUGCAGCUGAUGCAUUUUGAUUUCACUUAAUCAUGUUUCCAAGGCUGAAUUUAGCAAGGCUAUAUUCCUUCCCUGUCAGCAUUAUCUAAUGUGAUGCACACCCUGCAAUUAGGACCCACCAUAAUUGCUUCUGGCCUGUAUUCAUCAGGCUCACGGCCGUGCUGGAAAUAAUAACAUCAGCAUGGGAAAGCUGCAAGUCAGCAAAGAUAUUUCCAGGAAAAGAAAUUUCCCUUUGCUCUUCUGCCCUCUCAAACCACCCUCCCCAGCUCACUGUUGAGCUGGCUGGGGUGUUGAGAGCCGGGACGGUUGGCCAGAAACGCUGUCAGCUCCCCGGCUCUGCUCUCUGCCGAAAACAAAGCAGGAAACCAGCAGCGAGUUCAGGAGCUCAGAGCUGACAUAGGGAGCUGAAAGGAGCUUGGAAAGCAAAGAUUAACCUCUGGCAAAGGCGUGUUUGACAUGCCCGAGCUAUUAAAGCCAUCAGAUAUAAAAAGCACUGGCCUGUUUUAUUAUUUUAUGAGUGAGCCCAGCUAGCUGGGUUUCUUUGUCUUGGGAACUGGAAUGCUGCUGCUUUCUGAUCCCAUGAGUCACAGUUUUAUAACUCGGUUUAAUCGUCAUUUCUUUGCUUACACUGUCUCCUCAAGUGCUUGGGUCAGAGCUGAGUGACAUGAACUGGCGUUUGUUCCACGUCUGGAUCCCGUCACUAGAAAUGAAGAUAUUUUUAGCCUGAGCUAAAUCACUGCUAUUCUUAGCUGCUUGGCUGGAGCUUUUUCUGUAUUCUCCCAUCUUCUCCCUGUUUAUCUCCUGAAGGUUUUUUUUUACUUUCUUUCUCCCAAAGCUCACCAAUGAGGACUUUGGGAAUAUAUUGCUGUUAGUAGAGGAGGGAGUAUUUUGGGAUUGCACUGAAUUUUAGAAGACAAUAAAAAUAAAUUAUGCCCCAGACGCCAUAUUUCCUAAAAAUGAAUCUGUUUAAGUCUUAAUAUAGGAAACCAUCAUCACUGAUUAUUGGAGGCAGGGUACUUCUGAAAUAAAUCUAUUCCCAGAUUUAUUUCUUCCAAGUAGGGUCUGGUCUUGACUUGCUUAGACUAGGAAAAAUGUAAAGGCAAAAUACAUACAUCUGACCUCUCACAUUUAUGUGGUGAAAGAUGGAACAAAGGACCGGUGAAAUGAUCAAAGAUCCCUGAAGACACCAACACUUCCACCAAAUCCAGGUCUUCUCAGAUGGGAGUGAUGUUACCUUUGCACAGUGCCUGCAGUUGUUCUUGCUCCCAUUUUCCCCACCUUCUGUGCAGCUUUCUGCAAGAACUGAUGGUUUGAGACUGUGCUACACAGGGGAAAAGAAGUGAGCCGAUAAUACCUCUUAUUUUCCUCUUUUUCAGAAAGAGAGCUAUUAAUGUUAAAAGUAGCUAUUUAGAGCUUUUAUAGAUGGUAAGAGGUUGAGGACUCUCAUUUAAAUAAUCUAAUGUUUCAGCAUUAGGGCAAUGUACAGGAUAGCUGUUAUUACCACUCUGAAUAUUAUCCAUAUUAUUCCAUGCCACAAACCAGCUCAUUUCACUCUAUCAGAUGAAAAUUUCACUCUAUUCACUCUAUACAUAAUGGUAAAGUUGAAAAUAAAAGGAUACACAACUCAGGCACCAAUAGAGCAGGAUUUCCCUGGAGAUAUUGGCUUCCUCUGAGAUACUGCCAUACCACAAGGCUCAACCCUGGGGGCAUUGUGGCAGCCAGACACUAACAAGAAAGCACUGCACUAACUUUUUAUGCAGAGGCACAACGGCUCCAUCCUUUCAGCUACUCAGCUCAGUGACUGUCUCUGACCUUGUGGUUACUCAGGCUAGAAGGCAAGGAGGAGAGAGUUUAGCCAACCCAGGCUACCUGCUGCCUCUACACACAAGGCACAUGGAUACCAGUGGAUAGUUGUGAAGGUCCCCAUAAGAAAGGGAUUGAGCAGCUUGUCUCUUUCCUACACUUUGUCUACUCAUCAGGAGAUACAUCUGCUCUUACCAAGAGUUCUCAGCACCUUCAAAUAGCAGUUAUAGCUGCAGAAGUAGCAAUAUGCCCACAUAAACAUGUCCCUAUUCUAGCUUCCUGUGCUGGGCUAACAGAAAUGCUAACAGAAAUCAAGUUAAUUUUCUUCAUGCAAUUAAAUAUUUUCUUUUUUGUAGCUAGCACAGUCUUUUGGUUUGGAUUUAGUGUGAGAGUAAUGUGAUAAAACCCAAGCUUUCCAUGCUUUUCUUUCAGUAGCUAGGCUUUUGGAGUCGGUAUGAAAAGAAUGUAAGAAGUCACUGAUAUUUUGGCUGUUGCCAGGGAGACCAAGGACUUUUUCAACCUUCCAGCUGCAGGCACACAGCAUCUAGGAGGGGGGCAUAAGUAGGAUAGCACCUAGAUUGACAUCCAGGUUGGUCAAUGAACUAUUCCUUACCAUUAGCCACAUGCUCCAUAUAUGACUGGAGCUGGCUUUUCCAGCUAGUUAGUCCUGUUGGAAUUUGACCUCUUUGUUAUUCUACCAUUUUGAAGUCAGCCUUUGGCCUGUUUGCCUUUUGCCUUUUUGCUCUCUUGCUGGGAUUGGCUGUUUGGGACUGGGGGUGUUCUCCUUUCUGGUACUGGCUGUUCAGCACAAGAUGGGCUGAGUGUUGGUCACUGGGUGUUGAGAGCAAUUGCAUAACUGUAUUGUGUAUCUUUUAUUACAUUUUUUUCUAUGAUUAUGGUGAUGAUGAUGAUGUUGUCUUAUUAAACUGUUUCUAUCUCAA